rnacentral:rRNA from 1 species
AGAGUUUGAUCCUGGCUCAGGACGAACGCUGGCGGCGUGCUUAACACAUGCAAGUCGAACGGAAAGGCCCUGCUUUUGUGGGGUGCUCGAGUGGCGAACGGGUGAGUAACACGUGAGUAACCUGCCCUUGACUUUGGGAUAACUUCAGGAAACUGGGGCUAAUACCGGAUAGGAGCUCCUGCUGCAUGGUGGGGGUUGGAAAGUUUCGGCGGUUGGGGAUGGACCCGCGGCUUAUCAGCUUGUUGGUGGGGUAGUGGCUUACCAAGGCUUUGACGGGUAGCCGACCUGAGAGGGUGACCGGCCACAUUGGGACUGAGAUACGGCCCAGACUCCUACGGGAGGCAGCAGUGGGGAAUAUUGCACAAUGGGCGGAAGCCUGAUGCAGCAACGCCGCGUGCGGGAUGACGGCCUUCGGGUUGUAAACCGCUUUCGCCUGUGACGAAGCGUGAGUGACGGUAAUGGGUAAAGAAGCACCGGCUAACUACGUGCCAGCAGCCGCGGUGAUACGUAGGGUGCGAGCGUUGUCCGGAUUUAUUGGGCGUAAAGGGCUCGUAGGUGGUUGAUCGCGUCGGAAGUGUAAUCUUGGGGCUUAACCCUGAGCGUGCUUUCGAUACGGGUUGACUUGAGGAAGGUAGGGGAGAAUGGAAUUCCUGGUGGAGCGGUGGAAUGCGCAGAUAUCAGGAGGAACACCAGUGGCGAA